rnacentral:lncRNA from 1 species
CUUUCAGACUAUGAGGAAGACGACAAUGAAGAUACUGACAGUAGUGAUGCAGAAAAUGAAAUUAAUAAACAUGAUGUCGUGGUCCAGUUGCAGCCUAAUGGUGAAUGGGAUUACAACAUAGCAAAUACUGUUUGACUUUCAGAAGAUGAUUGGUUUAUUUCACUUUAAAAUAUUUAGGUAUAUACUGUAAUUUGAUUUUUUGCUCCCUUCAAAGAUUUCUGUAGAAAUACCUUAUUUUUUAGUAUUCUACAGUUUAAUCAAAUUA